UACGAAGGGGGCUAGCGUUGUUCGGAAUUACUGGGCGUAAAGCGUGUGUAGGCGGCCAUUCAAGUCGGAUGUGAAAGCCCCGGGCUCAACCCGGGAAGUGCACCCGAAACUGGAUGGCUUGAGUAUCGGAGAGGUUGGUGGAAUUCUCGGUGUAGAGGUGAAAUUCGUAGAUAUCGAGAGGAACACCGGUGGCGAAGGCGGCCAACUGGACGAAUACUGACGCUGAGACACGAAAGCGUGGGGAGCAAACAGG
rnacentral:rRNA from 1 species